rnacentral:rRNA from 1 species
UGAGGGAUAUUGGUUCAAUGGGGGGAAACCCUGAACCAGCAACGCCGCGUGAGGGAAGACGGUUUUCGGAUUGUAAACCUCUGUCCUCUGUGAAGAUAAUGACGGUAGCAGAGGAGGAAGCUCCGGCUAACUACGUGCC